rnacentral:rRNA from 1 species
UACGGAGGGUGCGAGCGUUGUCCGGAAUCAUUGGGCGUAAAGCGCACGUAGGCGGUCUUUUAAGUCUUUUGGUGAAAGGCUGGGGCUCAACCCCAUGCAUGCCGGGGAUACUGGGAGACUGGAGACAGGCAGAGGCCAGCGGAAUUCCGGGUGUAGCGGUGGAAUGCGUAGAGAUCCGGAAGAACACCGGAGGCGAAGGCGGCUGGCUGGGCCUGAUCUGACGCUGAGGUGCGAAAGCGUGGGGAGCGAACAGG